GCGAAUAUGCCGAAAUUUGGUAGCCGGGUGGAUUUUAGGCAUCCAUAUUUAAGAGUUCAAGUCUCUUUAUUCGUA
rnacentral:tRNA from 2 species